CUGGGAUGCAGCCGCAGCCACCAGGGGCUGGGUCCCAGGUGGGUUCCCUUCCCCAAGCGUCUUCAGUGCUCUGGCGCGGCCCUUCCUGUGUCUCAGUGGGGCCAUGGCCAGCGCCUCAGGGUCUGAGAAGCCUGCCCUGACCAGGGGUGCCUUCUUCAGAUGACCCACCAUGGGGACAAAAUCUCUGCUUCUCCUGGACUGAAUUGGGAGCCACGAGGAGAACCAGUCCUGAGCGCUGUCUUGGUGGAGACGUGUUCCCAUCGGUUACUUCUUUUCCAUUUUGGUGGACCUUGGAUUUGCACCCACACCCUAAUCCUGAUCAGAAUCUGUGGCUGCGGGGUUCAGCCCGUGCUGGGGGAGGAGAGAGAAGGGGGAUGCAGGGAGGUCUGGCACUGCCCAUUUCCCACCGGAAGCUUCAGCCAGCGCUCGCUGCCUCUGCCCAGCUGGAGGGAAUCAGCGGUAGUGGAAUUUCAGGGACACUCGGUUUACUAACCCAGGAUCACUCAGAAGGGGUUAUUGAUGGGAUGGCACUAUGAUGAGCUGAGUGAAUGUCUGAGCCUGGCUGUGUCCCCAAGGCACCUCCACUCUGGUUAGGGAGACAAGCUGUGUACGCAGGAAACCGCUAGUGAGCAAUUGUGGUAGGAUAGAGGGGGCGACAACCAGGUAGGUAUAACUGCUGGGGGACCACCCAGGAAGGCGAGUGGGAGGCGGCCAGGAGCAAGCCGGUAGAGUGCGGAUGGGAAGUGGACAGCGCCUGUUGCAGAAGUCAGUGUGUGCUCAUUGUUACAACUUGUCAGCUUUGUUUGAAUUAUGAGAUAACCCCAGAUGUAACAAGCUACUGGUGAAGACUGAUGAUUCCAGAAGGAUCAAUUCUGAAACAGUAACUAUGUAUAAAGACCCAGUUCCCUCAGAGGAGACUCACAGAAAGACCUUCGCCUGCUUCCUGCACCUGGGCUCCACACCUGUCCUUAUUCAGAUAUUGUCAUUAGCCAUGAACUCCUAUGGGCAGCUAAACUCCCUCCAGUGAUCAGUUGCUCAUCCACAGCAUAUUAAUGUUAUUAAAGAUGGAUAUUACAGAGGUCUCAACUCAAGGCUGGUCAUACCUACACCACUGAUUUGUGAAAGGUCUGGAAAAAGUAAUUGCUCUGAAACCCCAUUUCUCUGAACACUUUAUUUGAAUUAUUCUAUGUGGACUGACUUUCCACAGGGUUCGCUGCUGCUAGUGUUUGAGGAAAUGGUCCUGCUUCCAUGCAUAUUCACAUUAAGGAGAGUGAGUAAGAAUAUUCAGGUAUAGAGAAGCCAAAAGGAGGUGUCGAGCUUUAAUUUACAAGCACAAGUCCAAGCUUACUCUGUUACGUGCAGAUGAAACCAGGGUCCAAUGGUCAGCAUCCAUAGAGAAUAUAUACAUAUAUAUAUAUAUUUUUUUUUUUAAUUUAUUUAUUUGAGAUGGAGUCUCCCUCUGUCACCCAGGCUGGAGUGUA
rnacentral:lncRNA from 10 species